rnacentral:rRNA from 1 species
UACGUAGGUCCCGAGCGUUGUCCGGAUUUAUUGGGCGUAAAGCGAGCGCAGGUGGUUUAAUAAGUCUGAUGUAAAAGGCAGUGGCUCAACCAUUGUGUGCAUUGGAAACUGUUAGACUUGAGUGCAGUAGAGGAGAGUGGAAUUCCAUGUGUAGCGGUGAAAUGCGUAGAUAUAUGGAGGAACACCGGUGGCGAAAGCGGCUCUCUGGACUGUCACUGACGCUGAGGCGCGAAAGCGUGGGGAGCAAACAGG